AAUGUUUUUACUUUUCGGGAUUUAGUGGAUCAGCUGUUGAUUUAUGUAAAAUACUGGCCUGCUAAGUCCCAAAAAGUGAAAAUUCA
rnacentral:pre_miRNA from 1 species